rnacentral:rRNA from 1 species
CAGCAGCCGCGGUAAUACGAAGGGGGCUAGCGUUGCUCGGAAUGACUGGGCGUAAAGGGCGCGUAGGCGGCGAUCAAAGUCAGGCGUGAAAUUCCUGGGCUCAACCUGGGGGCUGCGUUUGAUACUUGAUUGCUAGAGUGGGGAAGAGGGUCGUGGAAUUCCCAGUGUAGAGGUGAAAUUCGUAGAUAUUGGGAAGAACACCGGUGGCGAAGGCGGCGACCUGGUCCUUGACUGACGCUGAGGCGCGAAAGCGUGGGGAGCAAACAGGAUUAGAUACCCCUGUAGUCCCUGUCUCUUAUAC